AGGGACCUGGCUUGCUGGCUUGUCGUAGGCUUCUCGUGGACAGCUGCUAUGGCAAAGCAGGGGGCAGACAACCAGUCCUCAGCUACAAACCAGAGAGCCCACAGCCCCUUGUAAACCAAAUAGGUUCCUUGUCUGGUCCAAGUUUCCUGAUGAUGCUCUCUAGACAGACCUCUGAGGAGAUCUGCCUUACUUCCAUGUGGAAAUCACAGGUCUCCAACAUCUGAGGCCCCAACUCUAAAGUGAGGCAUGCUGUGGACACCCAGGACUGGGGAGAGCGUGAAGUCCCCUUGGAGCAGGCACUGGGACCCAUGUGGAUGUUGCUCUGCCAAUGUGAAGACAAGGCUGUGAAAUUCCAGAGCGUGCACGUGUUCUUUGAAUGGAGAGGAUUCUUCCCAAGAGUUAGCUUACGAUAUGUCAUCUGAAAGGAUGAUGCAGGAGGAUCACAGUUUCAGGGUUAGGUUGAGCUACAUGUUGAGUGAGAUCCUGACUUGCAAAGGGAAAUAUCAUUUACUUCAUAGAAAAGAUCAUCCUAGGUUGGCCCUACAACUGGAGUGCAGUUAUACUCAAGCCCUGGGAUGCUCCUUAGGGUAUCCAGUUAGUGCUCUAGAAUACAUAAUCUAGCCCCAGACCAAAGGACAAGGGACACACAAGGCUAGAAAGGGAGCAAGUGUGAGGUCUCUGGUCUGAACACACUAACUAUAUCAUGCAUAAGAUUUCUCACCAGGUCUCCGACCCUUUUCCAACACCCUGUGUUGUGGUGGCCUUGUUCUCUUACUUUAUUACAAAGCCCCUUGAAGUCAUUGUCUCUGCAUUGACUCCUCUGGCUCAUGCAUUGAAGAGUUCCUCUCUUUGUUUCUUAAAUCUGCUCUACUUGGUCCUCGGGCCCAGCUUUCCCUCUUGCCAGAGCCACCAGUGGUGCAUGUGGCCAAUUCUAGACCCACUCCCCACUUGCUAGCAACACAGGGCCCAGUCGAUCUCCCAAGAAAGUUCCUCUGAGUUCUGACCUCACCCUCAGUUUUUCCUACAGUUUCAAGCCUCCUGUGCAGCUUCUACUUCGUAUUCUCGGUCUCUGACUAUAACAGGAUGCUAGGGUUUGGGCUUUCUCUUCUCCACCCACACCCACGCUCGGAUUGACCUUAUCCAGUCCCAUGUUUUGCUAUGUAGAAACUGAUGAUCCCAAAUGUAUGUAUAAGUCCAGGCCUUUCUCCUGAAUGCCACUCAGAAUUCAACUCUUGAUUGAAAUGUACCUUUGGAUAGCAUUUCCAACUAAAUUUAUCCAAAAAGAAAAAAAAAAAGGUCUCCGUUUGUUUCCUAGCUCUUCCUCUCCUGUAGUUCCCCAUUUUAUAACCUUUCCAAUUACUCAAGCAAAGCCUGUGGUCGUUUUUA